rnacentral:rRNA from 1 species
AUGCUGGCGGCGUGCCUAACACAUGCAAGUCGAGCGGCAGCGAGUUUUACACUGAAUUCUGGAAGCUUCUGGGUAAUAUAGAAGAUCUAUUCAAGAAUUUUGUGUAAAAUGUCGGCGAGCGGCGGACGGCUGAGUAACGCGUAGGAAUUUGCCCCAAAGUGAGGAAUAACUGCCCGAAAGGGUAGCUAAUGCCGCAUAUGGUCUUCGGAUUAAAGCCUUCGGGCGCUUUGGGAGAAGCCUGCGUUGGAUUAGGUAGUUGGUAGGGUAAUGGCCUACCAAGCCGACGAUCCAUAGCUGGUCUGAGAGGAUGAUCAGCCAGACUGGAACUGAGACACGGUCCAGACUCCUACGGGAGGCAGCAGUGAGGAAUCUUCCACAAUGGGCGAAAGCCUGAUGGAGCAACGCCGCGUGAAGGAUGAAGGCCUUCGGGUUGUAAACUUCUUUUAUGAGUGAAGAAUAUGACGGUAACUCAUGAAUAAGCACCGGCUAACUACGUGCCAGCAGCCGCGGUCAUACGUAGGGUGCAAGCAUUAUCCGGAGUGACUGGGCGUAAAGAGUUGCGUAGGCGGUUUAAUAAGUGAAUAGUGAAACCUGGUGGCUCAACCAUACAGACUAUUAUUCAAACUGUUAAACUCGAGAAUGGUAGAGGUAACUGGAAUUUCUAGUGUAGGAGUGAAAUCCGUAGAUAUUAGAAGGAACACCGAUGGCGUAGGCAGGUUACUGGGCCAUUUCUGUCGCUAAGGCACGAAAGCGUGGGGAGCGAACCCGAUUAGAUACCCGGGUAGUCCACGCCGUAAACGAUGGAUACUAGCUGUUGGAGGUAUCGACCCCUUCAGUAGCGAAGCUAACGCGUUAAGUAUCCCGCCUGUGGAGUACGGCCGCAAGGCUAAAACAUAAAGGAAUUGACGGG